GAGGGUAUAGCUCAGUGGCAAAGUGAGUGCCUCGCAUGCAUGAGGUCCUGGGUUCAAUUCCUGGUACCUCCA
rnacentral:tRNA from 1 species